AUUGAACGCUGGCGGCAGGCUUAACACAUGCAAGUCGAGCGAGCGGCGGACGGGUGAGUAAUGUCUGGGAAACUGCCUGAUGGAGGGGGAUAACUACUGGAAACGGUAGCUAAUACCGCAUACCAUCAGAUGUGCCCAGAUGGGAUUAGCUAGUAGGUGGGGUAAGGGCUCACCUAGGCGACGAUCCCUAGCUGGUCUGCAAGGAGGACCAGCCACAUUGUAACUGAGACACGGUCCAGACUCCUACGGGAGGCAGCAGUGGGGAAUAUUGCACAAUGGGGGCAAGCCUGAUGCAGCCAUGCCGGGUGUGUGAAGAAGGCCUUCGGUUUGUAAAGCACUUUCAGCGAGGAGGCGUUACUCGCAGAAGAAGCACCGGCUAACUCCGUGCCAGCAGCCGCGGUAUUC
rnacentral:rRNA from 1 species